UUCCGGUUGAUCCUGCCGGAGGCUACCGCUAUUGGAGUUCGAUUAAGCCAUGCGAGUCUAGAGGCCUAGCCUCGGCGUACCGCUCAGUAACACGUGGGUAACCUACCCUAUGCUGGGGAAUAAGCUCGGGAAACUGAGAAUAAUACCCCAUAGUCCACUACGCCUGGAACGGUGAGUGGAUCAAAGCUCCGGCGGCAUAGGUUGGGCCUGCGGCGUAUCAGGUUGUAGGGGGUGUAAUGUACCCUCUAGCCAUCCACGCGUACGGGUGUUGGGAGACAUUGCCCGGAGAUGGAUUCUGAGACACGAAUCCAGACCCUACGGGGUGCAGCAGGCGCGAAAACUUGGCAAUGCGAGAAAUCGUGACCAGGGAACUCCAAGUGGCAGGGGUAAGACCCUGUCUUUUUCCGACUCUAAAUAGGUCGGCGAAUAAGGGGUGGGUAAGGACGGUGCCAGCCGCCGCGGUAAUACCGGCGCCUCAAGUGGUAGUCGCUUUUAUUGGGCCUAAAACGUCCGUAGCCGGUCUGGUACAUUCGUGGGUAAAUCAACUCGCUCAACGAGUUGAAUUCUGCGAGGACGGCCAGACUUGGGACCGGGAGAGGUGUGGGGUACUCUCAGGGUAGGGGUAAAAUCCUGUCAUCCUGAGAGGACCACCUGUUGCGAAGGCUCCACACUAGAACGGAUCCGACGGUCAGGGACGAAGCCUAGGGGCACGAACCGGAUUAGAUACCCGGGUAGUCCUAGGUGUAAACGCUGUGGACUUGAUGUUGGGGACGCUCCGAGCGUUCUCAGUGUCGAAGCGAAGGUGAUAAGUCCACUGCCUGGGGAGUACGGUCGCAAGGCUGAAACUUAAAGGAAUUGGCGGGGGAGCACCGCAACCUGAGGAUUGUGCGGUUUAAUUGGAUCAACGCCGGA
rnacentral:rRNA from 1 species